rnacentral:rRNA from 1 species
AAAUUGAAGAGUUUGAUCAUGGCUCAGAUUGAACGCUGGCGGCAGGCCUAACACAUGCAAGUCGAGCGGUAGCACAGAGAGCUUGCUCUCGGGUGACGAGCGGCGGACGGGUGAGUAAUGUCUGGGAAACUGCCUGAUGGAGGGGGAUAACUACUGGAAACGGUAGCUAAUACCGCAUAACGUCGCAAGACCAAAGUGGGGGACCUUCGGGCCUCAUGCCAUCAGAUGUGCCCAGAUGGGAUUAGCUAGUAGGUGGGGUAACGGCUCACCUAGGCGACGAUCCCUAGCUGGUCUGAGAGGAUGACCAGCCACACUGGAACUGAGACACGGUCCAGACUCCUACGGGAGGCAGCA